UGGAGAGUUUGAUCCUGGCUCAGCCGAACGCUGGCGGCGUGCUUAACACAUGCAAGUCGAACGGAAAGGCCCCUUCGGGGGUACUCGAGUGGCGAACGGGUUGAGUAACACGUGGGUAAUCUGCCCUGCACUUCGGGAUAAGCCUGGGAAACUGGGUCUAAUACCGGAUAGGACCACUUGGCGCAUGCCUUGUGGUGGAAAGCUUUUGCGGUGUGGGAUGGGCCCGCGGCCUAUCAGCUUGUUGGUGGGGUGACGGCCUACCAAGGCGACGACGGGUAGCCGGCCUGAGAGGGUGUCCGGCCACACUGGGACUGAGAUACGGCCCAGACUCCUACGGGAGGCAGCAGUGGGGAAUAUUGCACAAUGGGCGCAAGCCUGAUGCAGCGACGCCGCGUGGGGGAUGACGGCCUUCGGGUUGUAAACCUCUUUCAGCAGGGACGAAGCGCAAGUGACGGUACCUGCAUAAGAAGCACCGGCCAACUACGUGCCAGCAGCCGCGGUA
rnacentral:rRNA from 1 species